CUUUAUUGAGGUUAACAAUACGGAAAUAAAUUGUUUUAAACAGUUUAAUAUCUCUAAAAUAGCUGCUUGCUGAAAAAUGUUGGCAUUUUCUUGAAAAAAAAUCAUCUGCUAUCAGUUUUAUCUUCAAUGCAUCUCUUAAGGCCGCAGGAAUAACUGAAAAAAAAAUUAACAGGAAAUACACGGAGAUUAGCUAUCAUUUAUUUAUUUAUAUCACUAGUCUUCAAACUUCAACAGCUAUGGAACUCUCAUAUCGAAGUAUUUUUAUGGAAUUCUCUAAGUAAUAAAGUUAAAAGGAAUAGUUUUAAAAAGAUUUCAAUGCUGUUGUUUUUAUUUUCUAAAUAAUGAAGCUUCUCACAGUUACGUAAGAUGCAGUUUAUAAAUUUUUAAUUUUUUAUUAUUUUAGUAGAAAUUAUAAAAAUAAGAAUUCCUUGGAUAUUUUUCUUCUUCGAAGUCCUUAAAGUUUACUUGCAGAACUUUAAGGUUCUGCAGAACAGUUUGAAUACCACUGAUUUAUUUUAACAAAAUAUUAGACGGCCGGUUGACCGAUUCGAUCCCUGACUUCAGGAGGUCUGUCUCGGAUACAGUGCCGAAGUGGAUAAAACCACUGAUCAUUGGUAGUUGAUCGCGGAUUCGAGCCUGACCAAUGGGCUAGCCACAAGAAGUUCCGGGUUUUCUCCAGUGUCUAACACCUAAAUAGAAGCUAUUUUCCACAGAAACUUCUUCCAGGACUUUUUAUGCUAAACUAUCUGCCUUCACUCCUUGAAAGAUCACCCAUAGUCAUACCCCAUCAAACCAAUCGUUCCGGACAUGGCCGAAUCCACAAUGGGUACGGGAAAAAAGACCUUCGUACUCACAGGAAAGAGUAAAAGAAAAUGGCAUGUAGCCUAUAUAUGGAAUAUGUAUGGAUGCUAAGUAUCCAUUUGCUCUGUUGUUUGUUAACUUCCUCUGUUCAAUUGGCAGUAAGACCAUCUACGCAAAAGAAUAGAACACGUGGCCAUUCCAACCGAAAGAGGUAAAAAAUUUAUCUCUCAAGGUUGGUUUAAACUCCUUACGUUUUAAUUUUUAAAACUGUUUUUGAACAAUCGAAACCUAAUAUAGAUGGAGGGGGAGA